UACGAGAGUUUUUAACUCUAGUGGCGGACGGGUGAGUAACACGUGAGAAUUUGCCUUUAGGAGGGGGAUAACAAUUGGAAACGAAUGCUAAUACCCCAUAUGCUUUCGAGUAAAAUGGAUUUUAUCUGCCUAAAGAAAAGCUCGCGGCUGAUUAGCUAGUUGGUGUGGUAAUGGCUCACCAAGGCUUCGAUCAGUAGCUGGUCUGAGAGGAUGAUCAGCCACACUGGGACUGAGACACGGCCCAGACUCC
rnacentral:rRNA from 1 species